rnacentral:lncRNA from 1 species
AAUGCAGGGGAGAGGGCCUGGGCCUGGCCUUGCUGCUGGUCCCCUGGGGACUUCUGAGGGCCCGCGGGGGUCCCUGGGUCACAGUGCAGCCACACUGGCCUCUGGGCUCCUUUCAUCCACAGGCCGCCUGGUGAGCCCCGCAGCCUCACCCACGUGGGGAGGGGCUGCUGAGGCCUCCUUGCCUUUCUUGGUGGGCGCCCUACGCCUCGGGGGUCCUACCCUCCUCUUCUGUGCAGCCCCAACGUGGCUUUGCCCCCUUCUCCAAACUUCUGCCUUGGGCCAUGGGGCGCAGGCCGUGGGGAUGCUGUCUGCCUGCUUUAGAGAAACCUGGGGCACCGAUGACAAAUACAGGCUCUGCUUGGCCUGUGGGACGGUUGGUAAGCCCCCCACCUCUGAGACCCUGGGUGGCCACAUUCCCCUCCCAAGCUCCCCCGGAAUGGGGAUGCAGCCUGCCCCUUCCUUCCUCCUGGGCACUGUGCAGGCUUAGGGAGGAUGCAGGUGGCACAGUAGGCUGUGCCCACCCGGGGUCCCGGGACCCCAGCCCCUACCGCCUCCUCCUCCUCCUCUGAAUUCUUGGAGCCCUGUGGGCCUAUGUGGUGUGACGUGGCUUCCCCUCCACCCACCCUCAGCUCCCGAUGGCUUGGGGGGUUCUCCGCAGCCAGCGAGGCCCACAGCCGGCCUCCCCGGGUUCUGUCCUGCCCCCGACAGCAUCCUGGGCCUUCCGGUGGUGUCAGGAGACUCCAGGCCCUUGAAAGGCAGCUGCGACCCCGGGUAUGACUCGGAGAAGUCCAGGAGCAGGAAAUGGGCUGCAUUCCUUCGGGGCCCCUCCGUGCACCCCAGCCCCUCCCUGGGAGAGCUGCCCUGAGGUCAGGAAAGUGCCGUCCUGGCAAGACCCUCAGCAGCUGCCGCCCACAGGACAGUCAGCGUUUUCAAGCAUGGGAAGGAAAAUAAACACGAGGUUAAAAAGGGGUCUGUUGGCCCCGGGCUGGUUUGUUUUUCCUGUGUAAGGGAGGCAACGGGAAUGAGAACCAUCUGUGCCCUGAGCGCAGCGCAAGCUGCCUGCUGGGCCCACGUGCCCUCCCCCAAAGACCACAGAAGCCAGGCAGAGCCUUGCUCCCUUCCAGCCGGGGCCGUGGCUGCUGGCCGGCAGGGACAGUGGUGUUGGCUGGGGCACCACCCUCCUUUGCCACAGCCCUGGGCCUGGCUGCGGGCAGAGAACAGGCCUUCGAUUGAAGCUCCAACCUUCCGGGCCACCUCCUUUGGGCUUCGGGCACCUGAGCCAGCAUCCCAUUGUAAGGGCAGGGGCUGCUGGGGGCCCUGCCUGUGCCAGGCCUCAGCUCAGCCCUCUUUCCCCAGGCGCUGCUGCCAUCAGGAGGCCCACAGAGGGUCCACACCAACACUGUGAGCCCCUUGUGGGUCCCCUGGGUUAGUGGUGGGAGGCUGGUGAAGAGAAGUGGGGACAAAAGACAUUGCACAAAUGGUGGAGGGAGGGAGAGAUUUGCAGCCUCGUAGCUGUCAUUGCUGGGGGAGCUUCUCCUGGUCUCCUUCCUUGAUGCAGAGAGCUGGGAGCUUGUGUCCCUGGGCCGGGAGAGCCCCAACAUUAUAUCAGAACUUGUGGGGAAACCUGCACCCCCGAGGGCUCUGGCUUUGUUAGGCCGAGCUGGGCUAUGAGGCUGUGUGACCUGGCACAAGUUGCUUUCCCUCUCUGAGCCUCGGUUCUGUCACCUGAGGGCUGCCCGUCCCGCAAGGUGUGGAGGGUCACUGAGGCGUGGGGUUUCUGCGGUGCUUGUCCAUGUGCCUGGCACACAGUGGGGUUUGUGCAGUGCUUGUCCAUGUGCCUAGUGGCUCACAGUGGGGUUUGUGCGGUGCUUGUCCGUGUGCCUGGCACACGGUGGGGUUUGUGUGGUGCGUGUCCAUGUGCCUGGCACACAGCGAGAGCUGCUGGGGUCAUGUUGCUCUCACACUCGUGCCUGCCCCUGCUGGGCCCCUGCAGUGGGUCCUGGCUGGAUUGGGGGUACAUCCCCACCACACUGCACAGAGGGGCGUCUCCUCCUAUCCAGGGACCUGAUUCUCCUGUCGAGAAAACCUAUGAAGGGGACCCAGAGAUGGAGUGUGACAAGGCCAGGUGACAGGCCUGACAUGUGGUGUCCACAUCCAGAAGGGAGACCCUGGAGGGAUGACCCUCCACUGCCACCCCCUCCCAUCAGGCUCUGGACACCCUCGAGCCUCCCACCAUCCACCUUACCAGAUCCCCCCAAGAGUCCGGGAAGCUCACUCCCCCAGGGGACCAGGAGCACAGCCCCUUCCAUUCCUAACGGGCCUGACUCCCAAAGGGGGGUGAGGAAAGAAAAAGCCAUUUCACAUCGACUUAUUCUUCUGGCCCCAGGCAGCAGCACAGGGCGCAGGGUGGGCCUCUGCAGACACGAUGGCUCCGUGGUCAGGGAGGGGCCACCUCCCAUGUGCCUGGGGAGGGGCCCUCCCAAGCCCCUGCGUGGCAGCGCCAAGGGGUUGGAGUCAGCCCCAGCACACACAGGGCCCUGCUCACUGGUGGCCAUUGUCAGCGCCACCUCCACCUUCAGGAGCCUGCCACGUGCCUGCCCUCGGUCACUUAGCCCUCCCUGGCACGCACCACUUUGUCCACACACCCUGUGUGUAAGUGGUGACAGCGGUGACAGCUCAGGCGUCACCUGAUCGGGCCGACUCUAAGCCUUAGUCCUUCCUUGUCCUGUUGCGCCGGACAAGCCUCUGGGAGGCGACGGUGGGACAGCCACAGGGUUCUUGGCUCAGCCCCCAGGAGUGGGGAGCUGGGGCUCUGGACGGAGGUGGGCACUCGAGGCUGGUGUGGCCUCCUGGGUGAGGGCCAGGCUCGGGAGAGGCAGCCAGGCGGCCCCAAGCCACCCCAGGAACAAAGCACCAGCACACACCUCCACUGGUUUGCUAGGGCUGGGAGAAGUUGGAGUGUUUCUGUGGUGGCUGUGGCAGCCCACGGCCCCAAGACCCUGGCUUCCUUCUGCUCCCACCUUUUCAGGCCCCUUCCCCAACAAGCAGCUACUGUAGGACCCAGUGGGGGCUAGGGCACCAGCAGCUGCCAUUACCCAUGCUGGGUCCUGAUGGUUCCUGACCAGCCUCAACCGUGGAUUCCAAGCUGGGGAAGGAAGAAGCAGGCCGGGAGUGGGGAGGGAGACAGUGAAGGACACCCAAACACACACACACACACACACACACACACACACACACACACACACACAGAAGGAACAGUUUCAGCUUUGUUUCCCAGUAAUCUCACUUAAAAAGAACACUUGGGUUUACCAUGUUCACAUAAUCUCGUUGCUCUGAGAAUGAACUUAUUCUUCCUCCCAGCUUGGCCAUGUGUUCCUCCCCAUUGCCCAAGUCCCCUCAUGACAUCAUCUCCCACUGCCAUGUCCUUUCCUUGGGGACCUCCAAGUCCCUGGAGUUUGGGGACUGCAGGGUGGGUGGAGGGGCCCACAAGCUCUGCAGGGAGCCAGAAGGAAACGGUCUGUCCCACCCCAGGGCUGAGCACCUCGCUGGGAGAUGAUACCCACACCUGGAAAUAGCUCAAGGGCCGCGUGAGGCCGCACGACACCCACGCCAGUAUGAGACACCUGGCCAUGCGGCAUUCCUGGCCGACUGCUGGCAGCUGCAGACUUUGUCAGCCAGGUGAUGUCCCCGGGAUCUCUGGGCAGGCAGGGCACACAGGAGGCAGCUCACGCUCACUCAUCAUGGCGAGGCAGGUCGUGUGGAACUUCCUUGGUCUUCCUCAUCUGCGCCCCACCCAGCCUGGCAGAUGGUGAUGCUGUGAGUGCCAGGGAAACACACACACGCACACACACACACAUGCACACAUGUACAGACAGGUGCACAUGCCUGGGAGAGUCUGUGCUGCUCAGCUUCCGAGGGCAGCUCCCCAGGUCUCCCCCCGGGUCUGCGGUGGGAGGCGAGUCUUUUAACAUCAGCUCAAACCAAACAGGAUGAGGAGGGCAAAUCGGCCGUCCCCAGUAAAUCCUAGGGAGUCCCUCCAAGGCAAACAGAAAAUGCACCCCAGCUUUCGCUUUUAGGGGUUUGAGUUGCGAGUUUCCAGUCUGCGGAGUGCGAUGGCCGGGUGUAAGUCUGAAACCCUCUGGGGGAGAGAAGCCGCACAGUGCAGGGGUACACAUCCCAGAUCCACUCCCCAGCUGUGAGGCCCAGGCGCAUUCCGCGUUCCCCGCCCAUCUCCACCUCCGAGGGUUGCGGGAGGCUGAGCAGUUAGAACCGUGGCUGGCAUACGGAGGGCACUCGGUAAACGUGGCUGUGCUGAGCUGUGGGCCUCGAAGGAGUCUCGCGGGGCUGCUGUACCAAUGACCUUGCACUGGGUGGCCUAAAACAACAUGUGUUUCCUCACAGCUCGGGGGACCAGAGCUCAGAAUCUGGGGGUCACAGAGGAGGGUCCAUGCUCAUCCAGGUCAGCUCUAGGGGCUGCAGGCCACCCCUAAUCUAGGAUGGUCUUAUGUUGAGGUCCUUAAUUACAUCCACAAAGACCCUUUCCCCAAAUAAGUCCCCACGCACAGUUCCCAGGGACAGCCUCUGGGGCAGCAUCACCACCCACUCAGUCCUCCAUGCACCCCCUUGCGCUAUCACGUAACUUGGAUCAGGUCCACGCGUGUGGCUUUGCGGCUUUCCUUUGUCACAGCGUGUCACAACUGUUUUCCCGGGUGUCACUGCUGUGGUUUGAGUUUGUGUGUCCCCAGCCUUCAUAUGUUGGAACCUGAGACCCAAGAAGAUCGUUAUAAGACGUGGGGCCUUUGGAAGGUGAUUAAGUCACCAGGGUCCCCAUUGAAGCGCUUGGGAAGCCAUCGAGGCCCCCUCCCCUUUGUCCUCUCACCUUCCGCCGGGAGAGGACACAGCAAGAGGCACCCACUGGGAGGCAGAGAGCAGCCCCCACUCCCACUGAGGCUGCUGGCACCGAGACCCUGGACUUCCAGCCUCCAGAAGCGUGAGAAAUAAAUGUCUAUUGUGUGUCAAUGA